AGAAACCCAUUUACAGAACGACGUGGAGGAGGAGAAACCCAUUUACAGAACGACGUGGAGGAGGAGAAACCCAUUUACAGAACGACGUGGAGGAGGAGAAACCCAUUUACAGAACGACGUGGAGGAGAAACCCAUUUACAGAACGACAUGGAGGAGGAGAAACCCAUUUACAGAACGACAUGGAGGAGGAGAAACCCAUUUACAGAACGACGAGGAGGAGAAACCCAUUUACAGAACGACGUGGAGGAGGAG